rnacentral:lncRNA from 1 species
GCGAACACACUGCUGCUGUGUAAAGGCUUAGUAAGCUGGUCCAUUAUGAUAUUCUUAAUAUUAACUCAUUUUAUGAUCAAAUCAUGAAUGAGGUGAAAGUACCUAGGAUGUGCGUAGGUACCUAAUGAGACCUCACCCAACUUAGUGGUGAAUGCUUUUGUUGGGUAUAAAAUACCCCCAGCCGAAGUUUGCAAAAGGCCGACCCUUCCAGGACUUUUCUGGCUUCCGACC